rnacentral:rRNA from 1 species
GGUUAAGCGACUAAGCGUACACGGUGGAUGCCCUGGCAGUCAGAGGCGAUGAAGGACGUGCUAAUCUGCGAUAAGCGCCGGUAAGGUGAUAUGAACCGUUAUAACCGGCGAUUUCCGAAUGGGGAAACCCAGUGUGAUUCGUCACACUAUCAUUAACUGAAUCCAUAGGUUAAUGAGGCGAACCGGGGGAACUGAAACAUCUAAGUACCCCGAGGAAAAGAAAUCAACCGAGAUUCCCCCAGUAGCGGCGAGCGAACGGGGAGGAGCCCAGAGCCUGAAUCAGCAUGUGUGUUAGUGGAAGCGUCUGGAAAGGCGCGCGAUACAGGGUGACAGCCCCGUACACAAAAGCGCAUGUGCUGUGAGCUCGAUGAGUAGGGCGGGACACGUGGUAUCCUGUCUGAAUAUGGGGGGACCAUCCUCCAAGGCUAAAUACUCCUGACUGACCGAUAGUGAACCAGUACCGUGAGGGAAAGGCGAAAAGAACCCCGGCGAGGGGAGUGAAAAAGAACCUGAAACCGUGUACGUACAAGCAGUGGGAGCCCCACCACUAAGCCAGUGGUGAACUCCACAUACGCAUCCUUUGCUGAGGAUACGGUUAACGGAGCGAAAGCGACGUUCAACCUCAAAAGAAGCAGAGGGGGCUUAGUGGUGGGGUGACUGCGUACCUUUUGUAUAAUGGGUCAGCGACUUAUAUUCUGUAGCAAGGUUAACCGUAUAGGGGAGCCGGAGGGAAACCGAGUCUUAAUUGGGCGUUAAGUUGCAGGGUAUAGACCCGAAACCCGGUGAUCUAGCCAUGGGCAGGUUGAAGGUUGGGUAACACUAACUGGAGGACCGAACCGACUAAUGUUGAAAAAUUAGCGGAUGACCUGUGGCUGGGGGUGAAAGGCCAAUCAAACCGGGAGAUAGCUGGUUCUCCCCGAAAGCUAUUUAGGUAGCGCCUCGUGAAUUCAUCUUCGGGGGUAGAGCACUGUUUCGGCUAGGGGGUCAUCCCGACUUACCAACCCGAUGCAAACUGCGAAUACCGGAGAAUGUUAUCACGGGAGACACACGGCGGGUGCUAACGUCCGUCGUGAAGAGGGAAACAACCCAGACCGCCAGCUAAGGUCCCAAAGUCAUGGUUAAGUGGGAAACGAUGUGGGAAGGCCCAGACAGCCAGGAUGUUGGCUUAGAAGCAGCCAUCAUUUAAAGAAAGCGUAAUAGCUCACUGGUCGAGUCGGCCUGCGCGGAAGAUGUAACGGGGCUAAACCAUGCACCGAAGCUGCGGCAGCGAACGUAUCACUUAAAGCGAUUCAGCGGGUUACGAUUGACGGAGCGAAGCGACGUCAAAGCGUAUACAAAGUCGAGUCGGUUUAAGGAUACGUUCGUUGGGUAGGGGAGCGUUCUGUAAGCCUGUGAAGGUGUGUCGUGAGGCAUGCUGGAGGUAUCAGAAGUGCGAAUGCUGACAUAAGUAACGAUAAAGCGGGUGAAAAGCCCGCUCGCCGGAAGACCAAGGGUUCCUGUCCAACGUUAAUCGGGGCAGGGUGAGUCGACCCCUAAGGCGAGGCCGAAAGGCGUAGUCGAUGGGAAACGGGUUAAUAUUCCCGUACUUGGUGUUACUGCGAAGGGGGGACGGAGAAGGCUAUGUUGGCCGGGCGACGGUUGUCCCGGUUUAAGCGUGUAGGUGUGUGUUCCAGGUAAAUCCGGUUCACUUUAACACUGAGGCGUGAUGACGAGGCACUACGGUGCUGAAGCAACAAAUGCCCUGCUUCCAGGAAAAGCCUCUAAGCAUCAGGUAACAUCAAAUCGUACCCCAAACCGACACAGGUGGUCAGGUAGAGAAUACCAAGGCGCUUGAGAGAACUCGGGUGAAGGAACUAGGCAAAAUGGUGCCGUAACUUCGGGAGAAGGCACGCUGACACGUAGGUGAAGUGAUUUACUCACGGAGCUGAAGUCAGUCGAAGAUACCAGCUGGCUGCAACUGUUUAUUAAAAACACAGCACUGUGCAAACACGAAAGUGGACGUAUACGGUGUGACGCCUGCCCGGUGCCGGAAGGUUAAUUGAUGGGGUCAGCGCAAGCGAAGCUCCUGAUCGAAGCCCCGGUAAACGGCGGCCGUAACUAUAACGGUCCUAAGGUAGCGAAAUUCCUUGUCGGGUAAGUUCCGACCUGCACGAAUGGCGUAAUGAUGGCCAGGCUGUCUCCACCCGAGACUCAGUGAAAUUGAACUCGCUGUGAAGAUGCAGUGUACCCGCGGCAAGACGGAAAGACCCCGUGAACCUUUACUAUAGCUUGACACUGAACAUUGAGCCUUGAUGUGUAGGAUAGGUGGGAGGCUUUGAAGUGUGGACGCCAGUCUGCAUGGAGCCGACCUUGAAAUACCACCCUUUAAUGUUUGAUGUUCUAACGUGGACCCGU